AAGUAAGUAAGAGCGUAUGGCGGAUGCCUAGGCUCUCAGAGGCGAAGAAGGACGUGAUAAGCUGCGAUAAGCUACGGGGAUUAGCACAUAUGAAUUGAUCCGUAGAUUUCCGAAUGGGGCAACCCGGCUACUUGAAGAGUAGUCAUCUCAAUUUAUUGAGGGGCAAACCCGGAGAACUGAAACAUCUAAGUACCCGGAGGAAGAGAAAACAAUUAGUGAUUCCGUUAGUAGUGGCGAGCGGACGCGGAACAGCCCAAACCAGAUUAGUUACGGCUAGUCUGGGGUUGUAGGACUGCGAUAUCUUAACAAAAACGAACGAGAACGACUUGGGAAGGUCGGCCAAAGAAGGUGAAAGCCCUGUAUUGGUAAGUUUUUGAGCGGUAGCAGUAUCCUGAGUAGGGCGGGGCAGGUGAAACCCCGUUUGAAUCUACCAGCACCAUCUGGUAAGGCUAAAUACUCCUGAGAGACCGAUAGUGAACAAGUACCGUGAGGGAAAGGUGAAAAGUACCCUGAAUAAGGGGGUGAAAUAGAACCUGAAACCAUACGCUUACAAGCGGUCGGAGCAACUGCGUGUUGUGACGGCGUGCCUUUUGCAUAAUGAUCCUACGAGUUACUCCUCAUUGGCAAGGUUAAGAAUUUAAGAUUCGAAGCCGAAGCGAAAGCGAGUCUGAACAGGGCGACAUAGUCAGUGGGGGUAGACGCGAAACCUUGUGAUCUACCCAUGGCCAGGUUGAAGUUCCGGUAACACGGAAUGGAGGACCGAACCAGUAAGCGUUGAAAAGCUUUUGGAUGAGCUGUGGGUAGGGGUGAAAGGCCAAUCAAACUGGGAAAUAGCUCGUACUCCCCGAAAUGCAUUUAGGUGCAGCGUUGAUAUAGAGUCUUAUAGAGGUAGAGCUACUGAUUGGGCUAGGGGGCUUCACCGCCUACCAAACCCUGACAAACUCCGAAUGCUAUAAGAUAUGAUCAGCAGUGAGGGCAUGGGUGCUAAGGUCCAUGUCCGAGAGGGAAAGAACCCAGACCAUCGGCUAAGGUCCCAAAAUAUACACUAAGUUGAACUAACGUGGUUCGAUUGCUUAGACAGCCAGGAUGUUGGCUUGGAAGCAGCCAUUCAUUUAAAGAGUGCGUAACAGCUCACUAGUCGAGCGAUCGAGCGUGGAUAAUAAUCGGGCAUAAGUGUAUUACCGAAGCUGUGGAUUGCAUAUUUAUUUAUGCACUGGUAGGGGAGCAUUCUAUGGGCGUUGAAUGUAUCUCGUCAGAGGUGCUGGAGCGCAUAGAAAAGCAAAUGUAGGAAUGAGUAACGAUAAAGCAGGCGAGAAACCUGCUCACCGAUAGACUAAGGUUUCCUGAGCGACGCUAAUCGGCUCAGGGUUAGUCGGGACCUAACGCGAACCCGAAAGGGGUAGUGGAUGGACAACUGAUUAAUAUUUCAGUACUAAUUAUAACUGCGAUGGGGUGACGGAGUAAUGAAAGGUCUGCGCACUGACGGAAUAGUGCGUUAAAGCGUGUAGCUAUAGGUUGAAUAGGUAAAUCCGUUCGACUUGGCCAACGUGAUAGUACCACAAGUCUACGGACGAGUGGAUAAUGACCCUAAGCGCUUCCAAGAAAAACCUCUAAGCUUCAGGUUAUAAUUACCCGUACCGUAAACCGACACAGGUAGUCAAGGAGAGAAUCCUAAGGUGCUCGAGUGAUUCAUGGCUAAGGAACUAGGCAAAAUGGUCUCGUAACUUCGGGAGAAGAGACGCCCCUGAUGUAAGAAUCAGGGGCCGCAGUGAAUAGGCCCAGGCGACUGUUUAUCAAAAACACAUGGCUUUGCGAAAUCGAAAGAUGAAGUAUAAGGCCUGACACCUGCCCGGUGCUGGAAGGUUAAGGGGGGAUGUUAUCCGUAAGGAGAAGCAUUGAACUGAAGCCCCAGUAAACGGCGGCCGUAACUAUAACGGUCCUAAGGUAGCGAAAUUCCUUGUCGGGUAAGUUCCGACCCGCACGAAAGGCGUAAUGAUUUGGAUACUGUCUCGGAGAGGGGCUCGGUGAAAUAGACUUGUCUGUGAAGAUGCGGACUACCUGCACCUGGACAGAAAGACCCUAUGAAGCUUUACUGUAACUUGAAAUUGAAAUUGGACUUUAUUUGCGCAGCAUAGGUGGGAGGCGUUGAGUUUAUUCUUGCGGGAAUUUAGGAGCCAUCAGUGAGAUACCACUCUGGUAAUGUUAGAUUUCUAACUUUGUACCAUGAUCUGGUCAAAGAACAGUUUCAGGCGGGCAGUUUGACUGGGGCGGUCGCCUCCUAAAUGGUAACGGAGGCGUACAAAGGUUUCCUCUGAACGUGUAGAAAUCGUAUCUAGAGUGUAAAGGCAUAAGGAAGCUUGACUGUGAGACCUACAAGUCGAGCAGGGACGAAAGUCGGUCUUAGUGAUCUGACGGUGCUGAGUGGAAAGGCCGUCACUCAACGGAUAAAAGUUACUCUAGGGAUAACAGGCUGAUCUCCCCCAAGAGUUCACAUCGACGGGGAGGUUUGGCACCUCGAUGUCGGCUCAUCACAUCCUGGGGCUGAAGUCGGUCCCAAGGGUAUGGCUGUUCGCCAUUUAAAGUGGUACGCGAGCUGGGUUUAGAACGUCGUGAGACAGUUCGGUCCCUAUCUGCCGUGGGCGUUUGAGAAUUGAGAGGGGUUGCUCCUAGUACGAGAGGACCGGAGUGAACGAACCGCUGGUGUUCGGGUUGUCAUGCCAAUGGCAUUGCCCGGUAGCUACGUUCGGAACUGAUAAGCGCUGAAAGCAUCUAAGCGCGAAGCAGGCCUCGAGAUGAGUUCUCACUAGACUUUUAAAGUCUCUGAAGGGCCGUUGAAGACUACAACGUUGAUAGGCAAGAUGUGGAAGUGGUGUGAGCCAUUAAGCUAACUUGUACUAAUUACCCGUGAGGC
rnacentral:rRNA from 1 species